CCUACGGGAGGCAGCAGUGGGGGAUAUUGCACAAUGGGGGAAACCCUGAUGCAGCGACGCCGCGUGAGUGAAGAAGUACUUCGGUAUGUAAAGCUCUAUUAGCAGGGAAGAAAAUGACAGUCCUUGACCAAGAAGCCCCGGCUAACGACGUGCAAGUAGCCGCGGUAAUACGUGGGGGGCACGCGUUAUCCGGAUUUACUGGGUGUAACGGGAGUGUAGAUGGUUAUGUAGGUCUGGAGUGAAAGCCUGGGGCCAAAGCGGGGGAGUGCUUUGGAUACUGUGUAACUGGAGUGCAGGCGGGGCAGGCGGAAUUCCUGGUGUAGCGGUGAAAUGCGUAGAUAUCAGGAGGAACACCGGCGGCGAAGGCGGCCUGCUGGACUGAAACUGACGUUGAUGCUCGAAAGCGUGGGGAGCAAACAGGAUUAGAUACCCGUGUAGUC
rnacentral:rRNA from 1 species